AGGAGACGUUGGAAUUAGGUUGGAUAGAAAGUCUGUUUAAAUGUUUUCAUUUAUGAAAUUAACUGGUGUUAUUUUGCUCUUAUAGUUUAAAGUUAGUUAUGCCUGAACAUGCGCUUAUAAAUAAUAGUUCAUUCGCACAUCAAACAUUAUCAUUAAUUAUGUUACAAAAUCGCAUGAGAUUGUCUAUUUUCGGAAACGGAUUUCUUUUUUAACAAUUUAAAACGGUUCUGGAAAAAAUUGCAUUCUAUACACAUGUAUAAAUUAUUCUAAAUUCACCUAAGGAUUCUACACAUGUUGUUUAUUAGUCAUGCCUCCGCGAGAUGGGAAUUUUAGCGGAGUUAAAGAAUCAUGCAGACAUGACUAAACUUGAAAGUUUCAAUUACUGGAUUACCUUUUUGGGAUUUAUGAUAUUAGACUUAUGUCGCUAUCAUGUGAAAUAAAGAUAAUAAAAUACA
rnacentral:lncRNA from 1 species